rnacentral:misc_RNA from 1 species
GCAGCGACCCAACGUUGUCAAGAUGGCAGUUGGUGCACGGGGUUGAUCUCGCUCGCGGUAUGGAUUUUGCCGCGUGAUUCUUGGCGCCGCAGUGAUUCCCGUCCGUCUUCGUGGGGAAGAGAGGAGGAACAGGAGAGACAGCGCGGUGCGACCGCGGAUGCCGCAAAUGGUGUCGCGUCGCGGAAGCUCGGCCGAUCGAACGCGGUAAUGAGAAGAAUAUUUCGGAGCAGCGUGCGGUAACGGAGCCAGGGCCUCUACAAUGGUGGAUAACAGUUGUAUCAUCGAGGGAAACGUCAAAUUUCGCGACGGCAAGAAGUGGAAGUCAAGAUGGUGCGUUAUGCGAAAAUUAUCGCCAGUAGCAGAUUGCUUGCAUUUACAACUGUACGGGGAUAGUAAGGAUCGUUACAAACAAGGCCAAACGAAAGCAUCUUUGAGCUUGCAACAUUUUCUGGGAGUGGAGAGCGGUUUUACCCUUGACAAAGAAUCCAAUACAAUUGCUAUAAUUUGCCAGGAUGUGACAGUCGUUCUCGCGUUUGACACGCGAGAGCGAUUGAUUCAGUGGCAGGUUAAGAUCUCGAACAACUUGGGUGAAGAUCAGCAAUUCUUGAUACUCAUCUCUUCGGUACCGUCAAAGGCAAAGUUCACUAAUGGACCGGCCCACUUGCACAUUCAGGAUCGUCGUUUCUGCAUCACUGUCGGCGUGCCACCACGGCUCGUCGGUAUAUGGGAGAUUGCACAUCUUCGACGAUACGGUGUGGUCGAGGGUAGAUUUUGCUUCGAGGGCGGCUCUAGAUGCGGUCGAGGCGAGGGGCUACACGUUCUGAUAACCGAUCAAGGAGAUGAUAUAGUCAAGACAUUACAAUUGGCGGCCGAGGGAAAGCUCACCACGAAAAAACGAUCGCCGCUCAGUAGAGAACAAUCGAUGACGCAAGACAGCCCGGGACGACGUCAAUGUUCCCGCUCAGAGACCAGAGCCAGCGAUUUUUUCCCUUCGAUCGCUUUGUAUUCGACAUCUACGUACGAAGAACAAUGCGACAGCUGCAAGAAUGAGAACUCGCCCUAUUGGUCGUCCGCGGAGAGCAGACAACAGACAGCGGAACUCGAUGGCGAUUACAGUUGCAGGGAUACGAUGUCGAUAUCGGAACUGCCCGAUCAGCAACCUAGCGGUGAGUGGCGCAGCUGUUCGCUCACUCGUCAAGGUGCGACUGGUCUCGAGAGAUGCGCCAGUUGCAUCAGCAAACUCGGCACAGUCUCAAAAUCGUCCACCUUGAUCACGACUACUAUGAGCGGUAUAAGCAGUCCAGCCGCCAGUACGUUAAACAAUCUAGGAUGUCAUUUGCAACCUCGUACUUUCGAUCGACUCUCACUGUCCUCUUAUAGCAGUAGUAGUCACGACAGUGAUUAUUCCGGCUCGCAGCAGAUCGAAUGUCAGUGCGCGCAACCGAAAACCGCCCAGUCUCAAACGGCACAGCAGACGACGGCUCGUCGAAUGUCACCGAGCCCGAGUGCGUUGCCACCGAGACCGCCGAAACCGUCCCAACCGUCAUCACUACCAAUAGCUAAUCAAUCCGUCACUGCCAAGAAGCCUAAGAAACCGCCGAUGCCGCUACCAACCGAGCAACAACAGACUUGCGUGCACGCAUUAAAGCCCCAACAAACUCAACAGUCUCAGCAACAAUCGCAGCAGCUCGUGUCUCGCGGCGCCGCAGGACCUUAUGAGAACUACGACAUUCCAAAAACAAUCCUGGGUCAUCAUAUGCUGCUGGAGCAAGGCCCGCAACCGGAACAGUAUUAUGAUACACCAAGAAAAAUCAAAGAAUGUCUUACACUGCCGAAAACUUAUCCCAAUUAUGAUACGCCUCAGGUGCCGCAGGCCGUAGUCCUGCAAGGAUGCGGAUGUCCCGCAAAACUCACGGUUCAGUCACCCAGAUCUUCGGGAUGUCCUUGUCACAAUGUUAUGAGCUGGGCUGGUUUUGUCCUUCCUUAUUGUCGACGCGGCGCAGGAAUCGAACCUACCGGUGUCACGGUACAUCCUGUGAAGCUCUCGGGUGAAGGCAAGAUGCCAGUGGUGAAUGCCAGUGGGGAUGUAGCCAUUUAUGCAACAACUAAAAGGGUACAUAAAACUGAAUUGAUCGACGAAAAAGCUAUUGUGGAGAAUUGUGGCUGUGCUGCGACAAGUAAAUCGAACAAUUACGAGAAUGUCGAACCGGUAAUAGAUACGCAACCAGAAUCAAAGCAACCGAAUUACGUGAAUAUAGAUUUUACGCAAUCGCUCGAACAUUACGAAAACAGCAAAGACGUACUAACAAAGAGUAGCAUAUCGCAGGAAGAGAUUGAAAAAUUCGCGGAUCAGUUAAAGGAACCGGCAUCCGAAGUACCAAGGAGCGAGAGCGUUUCCAAGGUUUGCGAAAAGUGCGGUCACGCGAAGGAAAGGGAAGAUGAUUAUUUAGUUAUGGAUCCGGAGCAAACCCCGAAAAAACCAUUUCCUAGUUACUUACCGAUGCAUCCGAUUCAUAAUGCUUGUUCCAAGGAGAUCUUGUCCAGGCUUUGCAGCGGCAUCAAGAGUUCUAGCAAUCCGACAUUAUCGGGAUCCACGUUACUCGAAGGGAAUAAGAAACGUUCCGAUUCGGAGUAUCGUGUGCCAGGUUCAGCAAUGUUAUCCAGCCCGUAUCUCAGACGUCGUUAUUUGGACGCGGGUAACGUCACAGAAUCUGGUGCUAGCGGCAUAAAUAUACUUCUCAGGAAACGAUCUUACUCUGCCGAGUCCGCGCAUUAUCUGGACGACGAGAGCCAUACCUUUCCGUCCACGCUUACCAUCCACAAGUGUUCAAGCGAAGCGGACAAAAAUUCUUUGAUAACCGGCGAGCCGCAUAAUUCGUGCGUAAACUCCGAGAAUAAGAUCAGUAAUAGCAAUCACGAGAAUGGGCAGACAUUGGUGACCGGUGUCGCGUCUCAGCCGUCCUUUAUCAAAAUCCGACGCUCGUCAUCCGUACCAUCUAAGACCGGUCACAACAGAGACUCGUCGAGUAGCAACGAUUCGGGCGUUUCCACUGGCUCCUUGAGUCAUCGAACGGCGGAAUUUGUCGAGUAUGAGUUGACGGGAUCUGCCGCUUCGGCAAUAAAGCAGAAUAUGUUAUCGCAAGUUUGUCGUAAAAGUCCACCACCCACGUGUUACCACAGCAGCCUGCCGAGGAAGUCCAAAUCUAGCGAUCCUCUUCGUGAAAUCUCUUUUCAGUUUCAAAAAAUCAAGGUACCGACAAAAUCUUCGUCCGCGGAAGCUGACAUACCUACGUGUUUACCGAAGGCCACGAAGGGCUUUAACAGUCCCGGUGAAGUCUCGAAUACACCUUACAUCGAUUCUCGGAGUACUAGCAGUGGAACUUCCGACAUGUCGGAUUAUAUUGAAACUUUGUCACUAUCGUCACACUCUUCAUCUGAUACGCCCGACAGCCUACGAUUAGGAGGCAGAGCAGUAGCAACUACUCUUCGACCUCGUAGUGGGAAAGAAUACUACAAAAUUGAUCGAAGUAUAUUGGUAGAGCAGGGACGGAUUCUUACAACGGCAUCUGCUAAUUAUGCAAAUAUCACUCCAGUGUUAGAAAAGAGUGAGUCACCAUCACCUGGUUACAUGAGUAGCUCACCAUUCGAGCAACCACAACCUACUCGUGAUCAUUUUUUGUUCCCUGAAGAAGCUUGAAUGUAAUAAUAUUGUUUGGGAAAAAAAGAGAAAACUUGAAGUUCCUAGGAAUUCCAAACAAAAUGAAUUUUUAAUGUCAAAUAUGCAUUCAUACAUCGACACAAAAAAUCUAUAUAGAAGAAGA